GCUAAGAAUUACAGUUAUAUAAGAACACGCAAACUUCCAGUGUCUCCCAUGGCUGGUAUUUUUUGUAUUGCGUAUGUGAUAUUGUGAAAUCUAGGGACCAAAUUCAGCUCUUUGGCAAGCAAGUGGCCUUGUUGACACUUAAAACAGGUCAAAGAAAGAAUAAAUCAAGAGAAAAUAAGACCAUCUGGAGAUUGAACGCAGGCUGUCAGAGAGAACUACGGGCGUUGGGGAAGGUCUUCUGCAGUAAUUGA
rnacentral:lncRNA from 1 species